rnacentral:rRNA from 1 species
GCUCCAAUAGCGUAUAUUAAAGUUGUUGCAGUUAAAAAGCUCGUAGUUGGAUUUCUGGAAGGGUGCCGAAGCCAGCUUCGUGCUGUCGCUGAAGCGCCUUUCAUCCUUCUGUUAACGCCUCUUGGCAUUCAUUUGCUGGUGGCGGGCUCAGAUAUUUUACCUUGAGAAAAUUAGAGUGUUUCAGGCAGGCUAAGCCGGAA